GGACGAACGCUGGCGGCGUGCUUAACACAUGCAAGUCGAACGAGGUCCACUGCGUAGCAAUACAAGGGAAGACCUAGUGGCGAACGGGUGCGUAACACGUGAGGAACUUGUCCCGGUCUCUGGGAUAACAGUUGGAAACGACUGCUAAUACCGGAUGACGUCGGAAUCUCGCAUGGGAUACUGACGAAAGGGUUACUGGAUCGGGAGAGCCUCGCGGCCUAUCAGCUUGUUGGUGAGGUAACGGCUCACCAAGGCAUCGACGGGUAGCUGGUCUGAGAGGAUGAUCAGCCACACUGGGACUGAGACACGGCCCAGACUCCUACGGGAGGCAGCAGUGGGGAAUCUUGCGCAAUGGGCGAAAGCCUGACGCAGCAACGCCGCGUGCGGGAAGAAGGCCUCGGUUGUAAACCGCUUUCAGUAGGAACGAAAAUGACGGUACCUGCAGAAGAAGGUGCGGCCAACUACGUG
rnacentral:rRNA from 1 species